CUGUCAUAUCACGUUGAAACAUCAAUUCGCGUACGAUCACCAAAGUUAAGCAACGUGAAGCCGGAUCAGUACUUACAUGGGUGACCGCUUGGGAAUACCAGGUGCA